rnacentral:rRNA from 1 species
UGAGGAAUAUUGGUCAAUGGGCGGGAGCCUGAACCAGCCAAGUCGCGUGAGGGAGGAAGGUCCUACGGAUUGUAAACCUCUUUAGCCGGGGAGCAACGUGCGCCACGUGUGGCGCAGUGAGAGUACCCGGAGAAUAAGCAUCGGCUAACUCCGUGCCAGCAGCCGCGGUAAUACGGAGGAUGCGAGCGUUAUCCGGAUUUAUUGGGUUUAAAGGGAGCGUAGGUUGUCCUUUAAAGCGUGUUGUGAAAUGUAGGCGCUCAACGCCUGCACUGCAGCGCGAACUGAAGGACUUGAGUGUGCACGACGCUGGCGGAAUUCGUGGUGUAGCGGUGAAAUGCUUAGAUAUCACGAAGAACUCCGAUUGCG